rnacentral:rRNA from 1 species
CGCAUCUGUGCAUGCAGCAUAUCAAUAAGCGGAGGAAAAGAAACUAACAAGGAUUCCCCUAGUAACGGCGAGUGAAGCGGGAAGAGCUCAAAUUUGAAAUCUUAAAGGUUUUCCCUUGACGAAUUGUAGUUUAAAGAAGUGUUUUCUGUUGAAGGUUUUGGUAAGAGUUCUUUGGAAUAGGACAUCAUAGAGGGUGAGAAUCCCGUAUUUGACCAUUAUUUUCAGCUUUGUGAUACACUUUCAAAGAGUCGGAUUGUUUGGGAGUGCAGUCCAAAAUGGGUGGUAAAUUUCAUCUAAAGCUAAAUAUUGGCGAGAGACCGAUAGCGAACAAGUACCGUGAGGGAAAGAUGAAAAGAACUUUGAGAAGAGAGUUAAACAGUACGUGAAAUUGUCAAAAGGGAAGCGUUUGACACCAGUGUUGUUUUUCUGAAAAUCAAUUAAAGAACUGUUUAUGCUAAGCUGUUUAGACUUUAUCAGCUAUCUGUUUAGUUUUGAGCUUUUCUUUAAUGCACUUUUCAGUUAACAAGUCAACAUCAAUUUCUUUUGCUGUAAAAAAGCUUGAGGAAGGUGGCUUGAGAUUCGUCUUAAGUGUUUAUAGCCUCUUGGCCUAUGCAAUCGAAGAGAUUGAGGUCUGCAGCGUAGAUCCUUCGGGGCUAGAUACAUUUGUGCUAAGUUAUAGCAUUUUUAUAGACAACUUGUUGACUAUGAAUUUAGUCUUGUAGCUUACUCGCUUAUGUUAUUUUACCUACGCUUAGGAUGUUGAUAGUCACAGCGUGUAC